rnacentral:rRNA from 1 species
AUUGAACGCUGGCGGCAGGCCUAACACAUGCAAGUCGAGCGGAUGAAGGGAGCUUGCUCCUGGAUUCAGCGGCGGACGGGUGAGUAAUGCCUAGGAAUCUGCCUGGUAGUGGGGGAUAACGUCCGGAAACGGGCGCUAAUACCGCAUACGUCCUGAGGGAGAAAGUGGGGGAUCUUCGGACCUCACGCUAUCAGAUGAGCCUAGGUCGGAUUAGCUAGUUGGUGGGGUAAAGGCCUACCAAGGCGACGAUCCGUAACUGGUCUGAGAGGAUGAUCAGUCACACUGGAACUGAGACACGGUCCAGACUCCUACGGGAGGCAGCAGUGGGGAAUAUUGGACAAAGGGCGAAAGCCUGAUCCAGCCAUGCCGCGUGUGUGAAGAAGGUCUUCGGAUUGUAAAGCACUUUAAGUUGGGAGGAAGGGCAGUAAGUUAAUACCUUGCUGUUUUGACGUUACCAACAGAAUAAGCACCGGCUAACUUCGU